GGCCCGCCGUCCUCCAUGGGCGGGGGAGGGAAGCAGGUGGAUGAUCCGACUCCAGCCGUCAAGGCCCCCUGACCUGUCCUGCCCUCCUCUUGCCGUGACUUACGCUUGGAAAGGAACUAGCAUUUCUGGUUGGGCGUGUUUUAUUUAUAGUGCAAGAACAUCUACCGCAUUCCCCACAAAGUGGGCCGAUGUAGCUACCAGCCUCCCGGGCCAGCCGGAGCCCAUCAGCAGGUCCCACGGAGCAGGAGCCCCCCUGUCGCGAGCCGUUCACAGCCCGGGACCAGAAAGGACGGGGACGCCCGCAGCCGAGAUGGGUGUUUAUGCGGAUGGGCUCAGGCACCAGGGGCACCUCGCUCUCUGCGAGUUUCCUCCAACCACGUCUCGCGUUCAGGUGCCCGGAAAGUGCAGGUUAUUUCUGCCUGGACGUUGGCGGGAACCAGCCUGUGGGCAGAUCCAUCCAGUGGAGACUUUUGUAAAGUUUCCUCCUGUGCUCUUCGCGUGACCCUGCAGAGAGGACCACUGGAGCGGCAGCGUCUCCGUUCAAGCUUUAAUGGUCCCACCUGAGCUGUGACUUGGGUGGCUGGCUGGCUGCCGCUGGGUGGCGCGGAGGGUCCUAGCUCCAAGCCCACGUCUUAGGGCACAGCUCACAGCCCGCCUCCACGCAGGCACACCUUCCUGAGACCAUCGGACAGAUGCAGCUUCAGGAUACCUGUGACUCACAACCGAAGGUGAGGCGGGUUCUGCACAUCACCACCGCCCAGAACCUCUGAAGUGUCAGGUUUGUGACUAAUUCGUUCUGUUAAAAGAUGCAGCCCAGUGGGCACCCUCCAGUGAUACCGCUGCAGUGCAUCCUGGUGUUUCUUGGGGAGGGAGGGCGGAGCCAGAGCUAUGCUUGGGGCAUCAGGAUCCCAGGGCAGUGUUGGGGGGAGGGGCCUCCUCUGCCUGGGCUUCCAGCCGGUGGUCUUGGGGGCGCGCAGAAUGCAGCCUACCUCCCACCACCCGUCCUCAGGUCUCCUGAACUCAGGGGCGCAGAAAACCCCUACCACGCAGGAGUGCCAGGACCCCAGCCUUCUCUCCUCGGGAGUUACUGUGAUGGAAAAAAACACGCAACCUAGAAGUUGGGAGAUGUGUGUUAUUCAGCAGACAAAACCGAGGACUUAAGCCGGGACACAGGGGGUCAGAGAAUUCUGAGAAACUGCAUCAAAGAGGCCAGGAGUCUUUGCCACAAAGACCAGGCGAAAGAACAUCAAAGAUGGCUGUUGACUGAAGAAAACCAGACGUCCCAAAUGAGGGAGCCGAGCACCCUUCUAGGCCUGGGGACAUGCCAGAGGCUGGGGCGUGGAAGCCAGGCCUUCACUGUGCACCUCAGCUCCCUGAGUGUCCUGAGUUUUCUCACUCCGAGUUUCCUUAGGCUGCACCUUCGGGGGCGGGGGGUUGGCUGCAGGGCGGGCUCGUCUCCUCCCUGAGUUCCCCGGGGGCCCGUCCCUCCUCCGCUCCGGGUGGGAGGCUGGGAUGUGUGGGCUUGACGGUGGCAGCCUCCUCUGUUUACCGAUACGGCAGCAGCCUGGUUCACUCCCAUUGCUGACUCCCCAGGCACGGCUUUCUCACUGGUGUCACGGGCAGUGGUGGGUCUACUUGACCAGUGACCCGUGGACAGGCCCCUAAACCACGCCUGGCCCAGUGUGCAAAUGGCUGAACCCAACUCUCAGACCUGCCCAACUUUUUGGCUUUCCUUUUUUCCAAAUUUCAGGGCACCUUUCUUUUUUAAUUUUUUUGGGUCUUUUUAGGAUUGCACUCUCGGCAUAUGAAGGUUCCCAGGCUAAGGGUCGAAUUGGAGCUACAGCUGCCGACCAACACCACAGCCACAGCCACAUCCACGCCAGAUCUGAGCCGCCUCUUCGACCUACACCACAGCUCCCGGCAAUGCCAGGUCCUUAACCACCGAGCAAGGCCAGGGGUGGAACCUGCGACCUCACGGAUGCUCGUCAGACUCAUGUCCGCUGUGCCGUGACGGGACCUCCCAGGGCACUUUCACGAUGAGAAGAUGAAGCAUAUAGCUGGCCCAGGGUUGGUCCUGCAAAGGUUUCCAAAUUUGCUUUCCUAUGAAAAGGUGGUUUGGGGAAUAACCCCCAUACAUGUGUAAGCGGACGGGUGAGCAUAGUAAGACGUCCGCGUGUCACCCGGAAUCUCACUUACAGGACAGGCAGAGAAAGGACGAAAGGAACGGGAUGGAAUCCAAAGCACAUUCUAGCACUUUUUUCUCAGCCCCUCACCCUCCGGGCGGCCUCUCCUGGGCGCCCACUCCUGCCUCGAGGGCCCCAGGGUCCCCCGUUCCUCUGAUGCUUCUAAGCAGGUGCGGAAGCCUCUCCUGUCCUGUGCUUCAGACCCUGUGGGGUCGUCCCCAGCUUCAGGCAGGUAAGCCCCACCUCCUCACACCUUCCCCCUUCCGAGCCCGGGGGUCUGCCGGCGGGAUGGGGGGCUCCCCUGUCCCUCACCCUCUUCCGGGGCCUCCCCUCCUGCCGGUUCAGUGGAAAGAGGCGCCGUUUUUCCAGACGCCUUACUGAAGAUGCAGGUUAGGAGGAAGCAGAACCCCUGGAAUGGAGUCCCCAAGGGCCUGAACUGCCACCCCUGCAGAGUGUAGGCAUCCCCGCUCAGGGAGCUGGGGACCGGGACACAGUGUGAGGCGGGGGCGGAGCACCCCACGGAUGGCUGGGCGACUUGCUCACCCAAGGCUGAGUGUGCAGCCCCCCAGGGCAGGUGUCAUCAGUGCCUGUCUCAGGGGCCUUCGGGGACAAGUGGGGACAGGGCGUGGCGGGGGGGCUGGCAGGACGCGGCUCGACUCCCUUUGCUCUUCUGAAGGCCCGCUCUGCUCCUUCCCUGACCGUGGCCCUGGGCACGAGCCGUAACCUGCCUGGGCCGAGGUCCCUCAUCUGGGCCGUGGGAGGCCUGGGCAGCUGGAGGGAGAGCCCGCCCCUGACCCCGUGAGACUGUAG
rnacentral:lncRNA from 9 species